rnacentral:rRNA from 1 species
AUUGAACGCUGGCGGCAGGCCUAACACAUGCAAGUCGAGCGGGGUUUUCGGACCUAGCGGCGGACGGGUGAGUAAUGCGUAGGAAGCUACCCGAUAGAGGGGGAUACCAGUUGGAAACGACUGUUAAUACCGCAUAAUGUCUACGGACCAAAGUGUGGGACCUUCGGGCCACAUGCUAUCGGAUGCGCCUACGUGGGAUUAGCUAGUUGGUGAGGUAAUGGCUCACCAAGGCGACGAUCUCUAGCUGGUUUGAGAGGAUGAUCAGCCACACUGGAACUGAGACACGGUCCAGACUCCUACGGGAGGCAGCAGUGGGGAAUAUUGGACAAUGGGCGGCAAGCCUGAUCCAGCCAUGCCGCGUGUGUGAAGAA